UACGUAGGGGGCAAGCGUUGUCCGGAUUCAUUGGGCGUAAAGAGCGUGUAGGCGGCCAGAUAGGUCGGUUGUGAAAACUGGAGGCUCAACCUCGAGACGCCGAUGGAAACCAUCUGGCUAGAGUCCGGAAGAGGAGAGUGGAAUUCCCGGUGUAGCGGUGAAAUGCGCAGAUAUCGGGAAGAACACCCGUGGCUAAGGCGGCUCUCUAGUACGGUACUGACGCUGAGACGCGAAAGCGUGGGGAGCGAACAGG
rnacentral:rRNA from 1 species